AUUGAACGCUGGCGGCAUGCUUUACGCAUGCAAGUCGAACGGCAGCACGGGGGCAACCCUGGUGGCGAGUGGCGAACGGGUGAGUAAUGCAUCGGAACGUACCCAGUCGUGGGGGACAACGUAGCGAAAGUUACGCUAAUACCGCAUACGACCUGAGGGUGAAAGCAGGGGAUCGCAAGACCUUGCGCGAUUGGAGCGGCCGAUGUCAGAUUAGCUAGUUGGUGGGGUAAAGGCUCACCAAGGCGACGAUCUGUAGCGGGUCUGAGAGGAUGAGCCGCCACACUGGGACUGGGACACGGCCCAGACUCCUACGGGAGGCAGCAGUGGGGAAUUUUGGACAAUGGGGGCAACCCUGAUCCAGCCAUGCCGCGUGCGGGAAGAAGGCCUUCGGGUUGUAAACCGCUUUCGGACAGAAAGAAAUCGCAUGGGCUAAUACCCUGUGUGGAUGACGGUACUGUAAGAAGAAGCACCGGCUAACUACGUGCCAGCCGCCGCCGUAAAAC
rnacentral:rRNA from 1 species